rnacentral:rRNA from 1 species
ACCCUUGUCCUUANUUGCCAGCGGGUAAUGCCGGGAACUUUAAGGAAACUGCCGGUGACAAACCGGAGGAAGGUGGGGACGACGUCAAGUCAUCAUGGCCCUCACGGGGUGGGCUACAAACGUGCUACAAUGGGCGGUACAAAGGGCUGCGACCCAGCAAUGGUGAGCGAAUCCCAAAAAACCGCUCGUAGUCCGGAUAGGAGUCUGCAACUCGACUCCUUGAAGUCGGAAUCGCUAGUAAUCGCGAAUCANAAUGUCGCGGUGAAUACGUUCCCGGGCCUUGUACACA